rnacentral:sRNA from 1 species
AGCCGGGAUCGCCACCCGUCAGCGAGGUUUCGCCCGCGGGUGCCGUUG